rnacentral:rRNA from 1 species
GACGAACGCUGGCGGCGUGCUUAACACACGCAAGUCGAACGGAAAGGCCCUGCUUUUGUGGGGUGCUCGAGUGGCGAACGGGUGAGUAACACGUGAGUAACCUGCCCUUGACUUUGGGAUAACUUCAGGAAACUGGGGCUAAUACCGGAUAGGAGCUCCUGCUGCAUGGUGGGGGUUGGAAAGUUUCGGCGGUUGGGGAUGGACUCGCGGCUUAUCAGCUUGUUGGUGGGGUAGUGGCUUACCAAGGCUUUGACGGGUAGCCGGCCUGAGAGGGUGACCGGCCACAUUGGGACUGAGAUACGGCGCAGACUCCUACGGGAGGCAGCAGUGGGGAAUAUUGCACAAUGGGCGGAAGCCUGAGGCAGAAACGUCGCGUGCGGGAUGACGGCCUUCGGGUUGUAAACAGCUUUAGCCUGUGACGAAGCGUGAGUGACGGUAAUGGGUAAAGAAGCACCGGCUAACUACGUG